CCCAUUUAUGAGCAACACUAUCAGCUAUAACAGCAGUUGUGCUCUGAAGCCAGACAUUGAAACAAUCAGAGGAAACUAAGAUGGACGUAGUUCUACUGCUUAUCAUGGCUGCUGCAGGGCUGAGUUCUGUCUCGUCACUUGGUGAAAAUCAUUACUAUGUUGUUCAUGAACUGAAGAACUUGAAUGAGGCACGAAUUUACUGCAGAGAGAAAUACACAGACCUGGCCACUGUGCACAGCGAGGAGGAUGUGAUGGUCAUGAAGGACAUGUUUUCAUCACAAAUAAAAAACGCGACAUCCUUCUGGAUAGGGCUGUACAAGGACCCGGACAGCCAAAGUUGCUCACUGUCAAACAUGGACUUCCACAAUUUUGCUGAGACAAAGUCAGUUCACGGAGAACCAUGCAGAAUGAACAGCUCAAUUGAUGAACUCUUUGCUGCUAGUGGUUGUGAAGAACACUUUAACACAAUCUGCUUUGAUGUCAGUGAGCCACUUUUGAAGAAACACACCACCACUUACAGAGAUCCCUGGAAGUGGUCCGAUGGAUCUAAGUCCUUCUUUAAGUUCUGGUUAAAUGGUGAACCUGGCUCUAGCGAGAAUUGUGUGACUGCAGACUUAUAUGACUCUGGAGGAUGGGUGGGCCAGAGCUGUGAGGGCAAGCAUCCAUUCGUCUGCUACAAACAGUCUUCUAAGAACAUUUUUCUAAAAGUGAGACUGACAAAAAACUCGGGUGCAGAUCUGACUGACAAGACUGUGCAGAAUGACAUUUUACAGAAGAUCAAACACAAGCUAAAGGGCCAGGGAUUCGAUGAAAACAAACUGACAUGGAGGACAAAGGAUGGAAAAGUCUUCCGCAAGGAGGAUGAGCUUUAGAGUCGGACAUUUGAUCAGAGAAAUUUUACAAACAAUGUAAGAUUUACCUGAAUGCAACGCCAGUGAAAUCUUAUAACCAAUAAAAAUGAUUUGAUAUAAUUACAUGACGUCCAUGCAAUGUCAUACAUAUAUCCGAGUUGUAUGGACAAUAUCUACACUGACCUGGUUAGUGUGAAGAAGAGGACAGGGAAGGAAACUGCCCCGGUCAUUCCUUACAGAGAUCCCUGGAAGUGGUCCGAUGGAUCUAAGUCCUUCUUUAGGUUCUGGUUAAAUGGUGAACCUGGCUCUAGCGAGAAUUGUGUGGCUGCAGACUUAUAUGACUCUGGAGGAUGGGUGGGCCAGAGCUGUGAGGACAAGCAUCCAUUCGUCGCUACAAACGUAAGUAAAAAUCACAAAAGCACACGACAAAGCAAGUGAUAAAACUGUCUGCUGAUCUA